rnacentral:rRNA from 1 species
AUUGAACGCUGGCGGCAUGCCUUACACAUGCAAGUCGAACGGUAACAGGUUAAGCUGACGAGUGGCGAACGGGUGAGUAAUGUAUCGGAACGUGCCCAGUCGUGGGGGAUAACUGCUCGAAAGAGCAGCUAAUACCGCAUACGACCUGAGGGUGAAAGCGGGGGAUCGCAAGACCUCGCGCGAUUGGAGCGGCCGAUAUCAGAUUAGGUAGUUGGUGGGGUAAAGGCCUACCAAGCCUACGAUCUGUAGCUGGUCUGAGAGGACGACCAGCCACACUGGGACUGAGACACGGCCCAGACUCCUACGGGAGGCAGCAGUGGGGAAUUUUGGACAAUGGGGGCAACCCUGAUCCAGCAAUGCCGCGUGAGUGAAGAAGGCCUCGGGUUGU